GGAACUUUCAUGUAUGGAAUGACGUCUGGAUGAAAAGACCUGAUUUACCAGAUGGCCAUGAUGGUUGGCAGGCAGUUGAUGGGACAAAUCAGAAACCAAGCCUAGGAAUUUAUCGUUGUGGCCCUGCAUCACUAAAGGCGAUCAAAAAGGGUGAAAUCGAUCUCGACUAUGACACCAGGUUCCUGUUUGCUGCAGUGAAUGCAGAAUACACAGUCAAAAUCGGAACAAGAAUAAUCACCAGAUCUCUUUGUGAAGGGAAGCCUUUUGAAAACAUCAUGGAUGAUUACAAAUUUCCAGAAGGCUCAAUUGAGAGAACAAAGGCUUUGGAACUUGCAAAAUCUCUACCUAUCCCGAAGAAUGACUUGGCACAAACAUAUGGGCAAUCCCACCUGGAGGAACUAAAUCAAACAAAAUAAAGUGUGCAGCAAAAAAAAAAGAAAGAAAGAAACCUGGAGCUCAACUGAUAACAACCAAAUGGAACUCCAGCCAAGUGAAAGGAAUUACUACAACACAAUUUAUUGACAUCAAUUGUCAUGAAGCUGCACAAAAAAAAAAUGCCCUGCUUGUAACCUUAAUCACUGGGUAAAAUGUUUAACAGAGAAUCAUAAUAGUCAAGUGUUUAAGUUCCAUAGAAAUAAUUACCUAGUACCAUUUGAUUCUAGUAGAUAAGAAUUUAAUUGAAUCUUCUUUUCUUAAUUUUUAAAUAUGCAACACAUGGCAUAUAAGUAGAUCUACUUGUGUUUCAUAAUCUAGAUUUUCUCUUAUAUAACCUCCAAAUGUAACAUUCUUAUGAGUUGUUGCAGUAAUAAAAUUGCAUAGCACACUUUUAUCUUUUUCCACCUGCAUUAUAAUAAAGAUGAUUGCAAGC
rnacentral:lncRNA from 11 species